rnacentral:lncRNA from 1 species
GGAAUGGCUAAACCUAAUCGGCUAUAUAUAGCUCCGUAUCAAGCAAGAAUCACCAGUUCUUUCUUGGCUUUUGGAUUUUGGAUAAAAUAACUGGUUAUUCUCCAAUUUCGGAUCUUUGCGUUUAUAACUUUAAUUUUUCUUGCAAUAUAAUUCUUAGAAGUUUUGACGAGUUGUUAUGAGGCGAUGAAGAUAGAAUUCAUUUCUCGAUGCUGAUAUAAUAGGGUUUUUGACCUUCCAUUUGGUCUUUNCCAUAAAUAGCAUUUCUUUUGUAAAAAUAAUCCAUGGGUUUUCAUCUAUAUUCUAUUACUUGAAUAAUUUACUAAAAUGGUGUAGGUUGUGUAAUUUUCACGAGGAAAUGAGAAGGGAAUGUUGGAACUUUGGGGGCCACACAUGUACAUUUAUUAGAAUGUGUGGUGCUAUUUUAAAGUAAAUAUAGUCGAUAAAGUGAUCCAUUGGAUUUAAUUUUGGACUAAUGGGUAUUAAAUUUUAUGGGAUUAAAGUGUAGAGACCAGAAGGUGUUAUUUUGAAUUGAUAAGGGGCCGAUUUGAAAUAACUUAAAGUUAAUAACUGCCAAUAGAAGUUAUUUUAAAAGUGGUUAUGGUCCCCAAUUUGAACGUGAUUUUUUUUACGAUAUCUCUGCAUCCCCAUCAACAGAGAUUUUUCGAGAAAACCAAAAGGAAGGAAAAUCACGUAUCAAUUGGAAGAUCAAAAUCCAAUUAAAGCAGUAAGAUUCAUGGAUCAAGGUAUGUUUCCGUACUUUUUUGUUGUCUCUUUAAUUUCAACAUGAAAUUUAUGAUUUUAUGAAAGAAUUUUAUGAAUAUGGUUCCUUUUAAAUUUAUGCAGCUGGAAAUUGCUUUCUAAAAUUAAAGGCCCAGUCAAACUGGUCUGUAUUCAUUGUGGACUGAGCCUGCUGACAGUACUGGACUUAAUUUCACUGUCAAGGUGUUGGUGUUGGACCUAUCAAUUAUCAUAGGAUAAAAAAAGUGUGCUGUGUCCGUUUGCCAGCCUAACGCAACCUUAACAACUAAACCUAGACGAACGGCUAAACCUAAUCGGCUAUAUAUAGCUCCGUACGUAGUAAGCAAGAAUCACCAGUUCUUUCUUGGUUUUUGGAUUUUGGAUAAAAUAACUGGUUAUUCUCCAAUUUCGGAUCUUUGCAUUUAUACCUUUAAUUUUUCUUGCAAUAUAAUUCUUAGAAAUUUUGACGAGUUGUUAUGAGGCGAUGAAGAUAGAAUUCAUUUCUCGAUGCUGAUAUAAUAAUAGGGUUUUUGACCUUCCAUUUGGUCUUUAAUUCUGAUGACCUAUUUGUGCGUGUCUGAGCCUCUUUCAAUUCAUUAUAAUCUAGCGUUUAUUUUCUCAUUUGAUGAUUAUGAUCACCUAUGAAUUUAUGAAGGGAUUUGCGAUUACUAAGAAAUGCAAGCCCUCUUUUAUAACACUUCUGUGCUGCAGGUUAAGAAGUGCCAGACACCACUGUUGAAGGUAUGUGUUUCAUCUUCAAUUGGCUUGAUUGUCUUAUGUAUUUCUGUUGCCAGUCUUCAACAAAAUUCUCACAUAUUCAAGUUUCAAGAUCUCAGCUUGUGAAUAUGUUUAAGAAUCGUUUCUUAUCUUCUAAAGAUUUUAACCAAUUUGAUUUCAUAUAUCGGCGAGCUUGGAUUAUGUGGUUUAUUGUAAAAAUAGAUGAAAAAUGAAGGAAAGAAAAAGGGUAAACAAGAAUUGAGAGAGAUGAUCUGUUUUAGGAACCUGCAAUUUAUCAAAGCAUUUAUGUCCAUUCUGUCUUAAACCAAAAUUUUAGUACAUCUUGAUUUUUGUUGAGUUUCAUACCAUCUCAACUUUUUGGGGCCUGCCUAGUCUGAAAUGAGAGCAAAUUGGUUGAAAUUUAUGAUAUAUGGUUUAUUGAAAUUGAUCUUCUUUCAAUGUGGAAAGACAACCGUAAUUAAGGUUCUCUUGUCAUGUUAGAAAAAUUUUAUCCUGUUGGGCAGGGGAUCGGACCUGAUAGUUGACCUAAUAAGUGUUGACAAAUGUAAUUAGUUGAAAAAAUUGACUAUAUUUUAAACAAUUCAAUGAUAGAUAGCCACGUGGCAUUAUAUCAAGUAAUAUGUCAGUCAUUAUGUCUAUGUCGCAUGAUUGUUGAUUUAUAUCAUAACACAUCAUGGUAUGCCACUGUCCACUUGGCUGCCAGCUAAGCAAGAGGCCACUUGAGCCUAGCCAGUCUAGCAGCAAGCCGUUGAGGCUUCGCCAGCCACUUUCUCCGAAGUGAUGUAGAGCCUCGCAAAGGCCCAUCAAGGCCUUGAACGGGGUACCUUCAGAAGCAAUGUACGUUACCCCGCCAACGUAUUCUCUGAGGCUAUUUGGAACCUCACCAAGGCCCAAUUAAGGGCUUCAGAGGAUACGUCUUCCCAAGUGAUGAAACUUGUGACUGGUUCGCCCCUUCCUUAUUCUGAGACGAUGAGGAGAGAAACAAUCAUCAGCCGUAAAAAAAAGCUCUUAAAUCCGAUUCAGUUGAGGUGUGCUCAUCUGCCUUGAACAAACUGUUAUUACUGGCACAUCGAGCAUUGUGUAAACAAAACUUGUUAUAUGCCACGCUUUAGUUCCGCCGAAGUUCAUUUUCCAAUAUCAUACACGUUAUUUGAAAUGAAUGAGUUGAGCAAUGUGAAAUGGUUUUAAACAUGUAUUGGUCUUCAUCGUUGUUCCAGUACAAAAUGUGAUUGUCCUCAAGCAAUCUUGUACUUUUUUCUUAUUGGUGUGUACAUGAGCAGUAUACCUGUAACACUCAAUUUCGGCUAAUGCACAAUUACAGCAACGGUAUAACGAAAGGGACCAGCUUUUGCGGGGGGUAAACACCCAACUUUUAUUACCAAAUAAAAAAUUUAGAAAGCUGAGGACCACCAAAAAAACAGGGUCUUGUGUUUCAUAACACAAAGUAUAAAUGAAAGAAGCAUGUUAGGCGCACAGCACUCUUUACACUUUCUUUGGACUUU